UACGUAGGUGGCAAGCGUUAUCCGGAAUUAUUGGGCGUAAAGCGCGCGCAGGCGGUUUCUUAAGUCUGAUGUGAAAGCCCACGGCUCAACCGCGGAGGGUCAUUGGAAACUGGGGAACUUGAGUGCAGAAGAGAAAAGCGGAAUUCCACGUGUAGCGGUGAAAUGCGUAGAGAUGUGGAGGAACACCAGUGGCGAAGGCGGCUUUUUGGUCCGUAACUGACGCUGAGGCGCGAAAGCGUGGGGAGCAAACAGG
rnacentral:rRNA from 1 species